UUAGUGUAAUUUAUUCAUUUAUAGCAUGUCAGAAUAAAUUUAAAAACUUCUGUCUGAAAAUGCUGCCAGGCGCCUAUUGUGUAAAUGUAGGUAUUUUGUAAAAAAUAACCUUGAAAUUGUAAAUUGACAUGUGUUUGGUCAGAUUGUGUCAGGUUUGUUUCCUUCCUUUUUUUUUUUUUUUUAAUUUGAAAACUACAUUAGCAAUAAUUAAUUCAGUGAUUACCACAUUCUGCCAUUAAAGGAUAUAUUAGCACCAUCAUACUGCAGAAAUCUUAAUGAAUAUGAACUUCGGGGUAGGCAGCUUCUUUGUUUUCUUUCUAUCCACCCGUGUUGGUUAAGGUAUUUGUUUCUUGACUAAUAAACCCUUUGAUACUUUUAGCCAGAAAUCAGUCUCAUAAAGCUAUUUUUGAGUAUAGUUUGUGUAAAAUAAAAAUGUUUAGCUUUGGUAAUAACUUUUCCAAGCUGAACUCCCUCUAGCAAGAUAUUUUUCAGUGCUUUUAUUUACUAUGCACUUAGACUAUGCACUUUUUCUGAAAUAUUUUUGUAACACUUAACUUUUUUGUAUUUUUGCCAUUUGAAAAGGUUGUGGUGUAGUUGGUCUGUAAUUAAGUUGCAGAUUUAAAACUGCUGUUAGCUUUGUAAAUCAAAAUAUAGGUGUUUUUGUCCUGGUAUAUUGUCGUUCCAUCUGCAGCUGGAGUUGGAAUCUCAUUGAUCUUCUAGCUACCAUUCAUUUUCUUCACAGUUCACGAAAGAAGAAUGUGAAAUUCAGUGAAUGCUGUUAUUAAUCCUGUCGGGAGAUGAAUCUCAUUUCACCAAAAUUAAAUUAUGUUUUUCCACUAAAAUGAUGAUACAAGUUGAAGACACAUCACUCUGAAAUUGGAAGACCUCACCACUUAAGGCUCCGCAGUGGCUUACUCAGCUGAACUCUAGGUUACUACUCUUUACUUUGUUCACCCAUUGGGGGGUGCAGUUUUUUUAAAUGUUGGGAGAUGGCCAUUCUAACUACUGUUGAAUGUCUCUGUUUUGGGAAGGUAUAACAAGAAAAUAAAAAAGAAUAUAUAUGAAGGGAGAGACUGGUUAUCUCCUCCCACAUGGCUGUGCUCAUGCUCCUAUGGCCUACGAGUGGAACUUUGGAGGGUUGCUUUUGCUAUUAUUUUCCAUCAACAAAUACUAAGAGAUUUUUUCCUAUUUCUACUAGUCCUUGCAGUGUUUUGAGCAAACUAUACUUUAUAAACUUAAUUCCAUUGUAAUAAAAAUACCAAGCAAAAGGAUUUUAGAAGCC
rnacentral:lncRNA from 1 species